UGCCGGAUCACCUCAGUCUACGCCUGCUUCUGCCAGCCCUUCAUCCACCUUGUCUGCCGGAUCACCUCAGUCUACGCCUACUUCUGCCUGCCCUUUCGUCCACCUUGUCUGCCGGAUCACCUCAGUCUAUGCCUGCUUCUGCCUGCCCUGACUGCCACCAAUUCCUGGAGGGAGAUCUACUGUUGUUAACCGGCGGCUGGUGGAUCACCUCCCUGCCUUGGAUCUUGGGAGACUAAAACCCCACCACGCAGUGAAGAUUCCCUCCUCUGUUCCGCCGAGCUUGCCAGCUGGUCUAUCAAUAAAAUUGUGUUAUUUUGCAGCAUGGUGGUUCUGUCUGCUUCCUGGGUCCGAUCCCUUCCCUGCACCAUGACAACUGGAGCAUCAGUAUCAAGCUAGCCCCUCUCCCCUUUCAUCUUCAUCUUUAAUCUGAAUGUUUUCAACCAAGAAAUGAGCUCUUUGCUGAAUCAUCAAUCUUUCAUCUGGAAGAGAUCAUUAGAGUGGAACAAUCAUCCCAAAUCAAGCUCACACCCAGGAACAAACCACUGUAAUUCUAUUUGUCUGCACUUUUAAGUCUCCUGGCUGUCUGGGCGCCAGCAGUGUUUAAUUUAAUUUAAUGAAUAAUUUGUGUAUUAUAUGGCAUUCAGUUAAUGCUAUUGUAACAUCAAAGCUCAUGUGCAAAAUUUUCUCUAAUCACUUUAUCAACCUCAUGAAUAUUUUGCUGACCAUAGUUUGUAGACAAAGCAUUUUAGCAAUGCAUGUGAUGAUGCAGGAAACUUUUCUUCCGUGUUUGGCACAAACUGUGCAGAUGAACGAAUUGAAAAAUUCUACUGAACUAUUUUGAAUUACUUAUUUUGUUUUUAAACAUUGUGUUCAUUUUGGUUUUAGGAAUUUU